rnacentral:lncRNA from 1 species
AAUUCAGUAAAUUGCAUUUUAAAAAUCUCGUUAUAAACUAUUUGAGCUUUAAGAAAGGUGCUAUUUAAGAAAGGAUUUCUAAUAACAACAGCAAAAACCCAUGCUAAGUAAAAAUACUUAUUACAUGUUGUCUGAUUGCAAAGCUUUACUAAGAAUUAUAGACAAGUAACCAUAGGGGAAAAGUAAUUUCUAUAAGUAGUAUUCUGUUGUGGUUUUCAAAAGAGCAACUCCAUUCUAAGCAUUUAUAGACAUUUAAAAACUUAGUUUUUACAGUAGAACAGAUAUAGUGAAGAAAUUGAAAGAUGACAAUCAGGUAGAUUUUAUUUUCAGAAUACAAAAAACAUUUAGAAAAUAAUUAAACAGCAUUAACUCUGUCGUCUGCCUUUGCAUCAGAAUAGCACAUAGCUCAAACAGUCCUUUUAUUACAUUUUUUUUUUAGUUUUACUACAUUUUUAAUAGUUGUGUCACCUUUAGCUUUUAUUUUGAAUAUCCUCUUUCCAGAAAGACGGCUCUUUCUUUCCUGUCAAAUUGAUUUUAUAGUUCUGUCUGAGCUUAUGGUUUACCUCAAACUAUCUUUGACUUGAUAUCCUCUAAAGAUAUUUAAUAGGUUUAUUCUAUUGUUUGGCAAGUUCUGAGAAUUUUUUUCAUGAUUAUUUCAUUCUUUUUGGGGGGUAAACCAUCUGCCACAGAAAUUGACACUACAGAGAGAUUAAUGUUCAGUAGAGAAUCUGCUGGAUUGCUUUAAAAUAUUUUUAAAUCACAGUUAAUGAGUUCAUAGAGCAUUGUAUUUUCUAAUAGAGUACCUUAAAGCCCUCACAGAAGUUUCAAAGAAUGUGUCUGAUAAAUCUUUGUACAAGUAUGAUACUGAUUCAUAUUGGCUUUGCUGAAUGGCCUUUGAUUCUUGUACCCGGUAGAAGGUAUUAAACUGAAAAGUGAACAUUUCUUAAUAAUGUAGAAAGGAACACAUUGGGUUUCGGUAUUUUGAGUAGUGAUGUUAAAGGACAAUUCUAAUUUGUUUUCACGUUAGUAUAUGGAACAAGUUAGUAUGGGUUUUUUUAGUAUCUCACUGUGCUUUACUCCAGGUAGCAAUUUUUUUUCAUCACAAUUUGAAUCUUUUAUAGUAAAUUCCCAUAGUAACUUGUUCCCUUUACCUUCACCAGAAGGUACUUUAAAUAUACAUGAUAUAUAGUUGAUUGUUAUAAAAGUACAUAAAAUGGGUAAUUUCCUGUCUUCUGGUUAUGCUUAUUGUAAUUAUUCAGUUUAGUAUUCAUACAUUUACAGAUGAAUAAACUCCAAGGAUUAUAGAUUUAUAACCUGUUUAUUGUGAAAAGUUUUGUUGCAAUAGUUAAAAAUUAAACUCUAGGAAGUGCAGCAUUGACUGACACCUACCCAUAGUGGGUUUCCCAGCUACCUUUAAAGGCUUCAGACAUGCAAACUCUGGCCUGUGGUAUGAUACAAGAAGUAAAUAUUAAAAGAAAAAUCACAUAAAUAAAAGUCCAUCAGCAAGGUUGGAGAAGGGAUUGUUGAGGGGUUUUGUCUUCAGGUAUAGGAGGAGUUGUGGGGUUAAGUUGUGUUUCUGCCUUUUUUUUUUUUUUUAAAGCAAAGUCCUGUGUUACCAAAAGCCCAUGCUGUGUAUUUUGUUUUUUGUGUGUUUCUAGUACUUUGAAGGAUUGAUAAAUGAAUUGGAUAUUUGUAUGUGGGGAUGUUAAAAGUUGUGGCUGCUCUCUUUGUGGAAGGGAUAAAUUCAAAUGAAGUUAAUGCACUUCUUUUCCUAGCUCAAAAGUCACUGUGAUGUAUAUUUUUUUAAUGAAAUUUAGGAAUAAAGUUGUUGUCACAAUUAUAUAAUUAGUUUCAAAAUGCUGCUUCUUUUAUCAUUAGUCUAGUAACUGUUAAAACUGUUUUCUGCAAACUGCAUUUUACAGAAUUUAAACUCUGAAACUAUCAACUUUUAUAGUUAAACAUUAAAUAAACUAUAACAGUUUGUUUUGUAUUUUUAAAAUUACUGUUGUAUUAGUUAUUCAACCUUUAUUUUUGUUAAAAGCUAAAUAAUGAAGAUAAAUCAACUAAAAUAUACUUUUAUUUUACCCAUGGGGAUAUAGAAUUUGUAUUAGGAAAAACUGAGCAAAGAGUUUUAACAAUACUGAGCUGCUUUAAGAAUUUAGUCAGCAGUGAUGAUUUCCAGAAGGUUUGGAGAUAAAAUUCUAAUGUAAAUGUUUAAUCAUAAUGCUUCAGAUUACAAUGUGUCUUUUGCCUCAGCAAACUUAAGGUUAGAUUUGGAAUUUGCAUUAUUGUCUACUGGAAUGCUACCAUUUGCUUUUUAAUUCCUCCAAAUUUCUCAGCAUUGGGAACACUGUAUUAUAUCCUGUGCUUGCCAGUUUUAAUAUAACACUUAACAUUGUAAAGCCAUAUCGAUGUUAAUUGACUUGUAAAAGAUUGUCUAGUUUUGGUUUCUUGUUUGGUUUCAUUUUUAUUUAAAUUAGAUAUAUUUAGGGAAAAUGCACCAACUUGAAAGUUAGUCACUGAAAGUAAUAUAUGGUUAGAUAAAAAUGUUCUGACCAUUCAGUGGUUUGUAUGUGUUAACAGGUAAUACUAAAUUCUCGAAUUUUGGAGUGUUUUUAAAUGCUUUAUUUAGCCAGGAGAAUAUGUAAAAUGUGAGUGCUUCAUAUGAACUGUGUAAAUUACUUGUGUAUUAAAAUACUUUUAGUAUCAA